rnacentral:rRNA from 1 species
ACGGCUCAGUAACACGUGGAUAACCUACCCUUAGGACCGGGAUAACCCUGGGAAACUGGGGAUAAUACUGGAUAGGCAAUUUUUCCUGUAAUGGUUUUUUGUUUAAAUGUUUUUUCGCCUAAGGAUGGGUCUGCGGCCGAUUAGGUAGUUGGUUAGGUAAUGGCUUACCAAGCCGUUGAUCGGUACGGGUUGUGAGAGCAAGAGCCCGGAGAUGGAACCUGAGACAAGGUUCCAGGCCCUACGGGGUGCAGCAGGCGCGAAACCUCCGCAAUGUGAGAAAUCGCGACGGGGGGAUUCCAAGUGCCAUUCUUAACGGGAUGGCUUUUCAUUAGUGUAAAGAGCUUUUGGAAUAAGAGCUGGGCAAGACCGGUGCCAGCCGCCGCGGUAACACCGGCAGCUCUAGUGGUAGCUGUUUUUAUUGGGCCUAAAGCGUUCGUAGCCGGUUUGAUAAGUCUCUGGUGAAAUCCUGUAGCUUAACUGUGGGAAUUGCUGGUGAUACUGUUGAACUUGAGGUCGGGAGAGGUUAGCGGUACUCCCAGGGUAGAGGUGAAAUUCUGUAAUCCUGGGAGGACCACCUGUGGCGAAGGCGGCUAACUGGAACGAACCUGACGGUGAGGGACGAAAGCUAGGGGCGCGAACCGGAUUAGAUACCCGGGUAGUCCUAGCCGUAAACGAUGCGGACUUGGUGUUGGGGUGGCUUUGAGCUGUUUCGGUGCCGUAG